rnacentral:rRNA from 1 species
UAUGAGUGGCGAACGGGUGAGUAACACGUGAGUAACCUGCCCUCUUCUUUGGGAUAACGCCCGGAAACGGGUGCUAAUACUGGAUAUUCACUGGCCUUCGCAUGGGGGUUGGGUGGAAAGGUUUGUUCUGGUGGGGGAUGGGCUCGCGGCCUAUCAGCUUGUUGGUGGGGUGAUGGCCUACCAAGGCUUUGACGGGUAGCCGGCCUGAGAGGGUGACCGGUCACAUUGGGACUGAGAUACGGCCCAG